rnacentral:misc_RNA from 1 species
GAAAUGCGAUAAGUAAUGUGAAUUGCAGAAUUCAGUGAAUCAUCGAAUCUUUGAACGCACAUUGCGCCCGCCAGUAUUCUGGCGGGCAUGCCUGUUCGAGCGUCAUUUCAACCAUCAAGCCCCCGGCUUGUGUUGGGGACCUGCGGCUGCCGCAGGCCCUGAAAACCAGUGGCGGGCUCGCUAGUCACUCCGAGCGUAGUAAUACAUCUCGCUCAGGGCGUGCUGCGGGUUCCGGCCGUUAAAAAGCCUUAUUAUAAGAGUGUUUAGUAAAUUAAUUGCUUUUAAUAUACACAAACAUCAACCUCAGAUCGGAUGCCACGACCCGCCGAACUUAA